UUACCAGACUCCUACGGGAGGCAGCAGUGAGGAAUAUUGGUCAAUGGGCGAGAGCCUGAACCAGCCAAGUCGCGUGAGGGAGUACUGCCCUAUGGGUUGUAAACCUCUUUUGUCGGGGAGCAAAAGCCGGACGUGUCCGGCUGUGAGAGUACCCGAAGAAAAAGCAUCGGCUAACUCCGUGCCAGCAGCCGCGGUAAUACGGAGGAUGCGAGCGUUAUCCGGAUUUAUUGGGUUUAAAGGGUGCGUAGGCGGAAUAUCAAGUCAGCGGUAAAAAUUCGGGGCUCAACCCCGUCGUGCCGUUGAAACUGAUGUUCUUGAGUGGGCGAGAAGUAUGCGGAAUGCGUGGUGUAGCGGUGAAAUGCAUAGAUAUCACGCAGAACUCCGAUUGCGAAGGCAGCAUACCGGCGCCCAACUGACGCUGAAGCACGAAAGCGUGGGUAUCGAACAGGAUUAGAUACCCGUGUAC
rnacentral:rRNA from 1 species